rnacentral:misc_RNA from 1 species
ACACCUCAACUCCUCAUGGCUUGCCAUGAUGAGCUUGGACUUGGGGGUCUUGCUGGCCUGUGGUCAGCUCCUCUCAAAUGAAUCAGCUUGCCAGUGAUUGGUGGCACCACAGGUGUGAUAAACAUCUACGCUUGUGGUUUCCACCAUGCAACCUUCAGUGAUGAAGGUGCGCUGGAGCUCACAAAUGUCCCUCCUCAGUGAGGACAGCUUCUGAAC